AAGGAAGAGGAGGAAUGCCUAAUGAUCAUUGCAGCGUAAAUCGUGUAAGGAGAGAGAGUGAGUGAGAGAGGAGGAGAGGGAGAGAAUCACGUGAUCGGCCGCUGCAAGGAGGUAAGAUGGCGGUGUCUGAAUCAACAGUCCAAAAUGGUGAUAUUACAACGUUUGGGGAGAAUACAAACAUUGACGACGAUGAUGACUAUGAUCGAGAUACGAUAUUAGAAGAGUUGAAAAACAUUCGAAAUGUCAUUCGAUUAACCAAAGAAAAACUUGAAGAUAUGAACAAAGAAUUUGGUAAACACCAGCAUCCACAUCCAUUAUAUAUUCAGGAAUAUGAACAACUUACAAACAAAAUUCAUGAUUUCCAAUUAAAAGAGCAGCAGCUGUUAGAUAAAGUGAUUAUUCCGUCAAGUGAAACUGAAGAUGAAGAUGAUGAUGAAGAAGAAGAAGAAAAGUUACCUUCACCUACAAAUAGUUCCACAUCUAGUCCAAAGCUCCCAUUGAAAUCUCCUGUCAGAUCUACUAUAAAGGUAUUACUCCCUAAUGCACAAUUCACUCGGGUUCAUGUAAAACCAGGAGUAACCUUGAAAGGAAGUCUUGCUAAAGCUAUGAAGUUGCGUGACUUUGAACCUGACAGAUGUUUGGUAUUUAUACAAAAGCCAUGGCCCAGGAAAUUUAUUCCCUGGGAUGUUGAUCUCUCAAUGCUGGCGGCUGAGGAACUUUCUGUUGAAUUUAUCAGCCAACAUCUCCCCACUGACAAGCCUUUAUGCCACAACUAUGUAAGGAAGACAUUUUUUACUAUAGCUUUCUGUGAUCUGUGCAGAAAGUUGUUGUUCCAUGGUUGUUAUCGCUGUGCAACUUGUGGCCUCCGCGUGCAUCAACGUUGUAUACACCGGGCUUACAGCUACUGCGAUGGUGGUGAUGAUUACCAUUCACAUUAUGGUAGUCCAAAUAGAAUUUCAGAACCAAUGUACAAUCAACCAUUUCCAGAUGUAUCUCAUACACUACCUACAUACGUUUCCAGUCCGUUCAAUCAGUUCCAGACAUUGCCAAAUCAACGUAACACUCGUAAGCGUCCUCCUCCAAUAUGCCAGAGAGAGCGUUCAACAUCAGCUCCAAAUGUCUGCUGUAAUCUAGUCAAUAGCUCCUUUUUGACAUCUGAACAAGAAUCGGGUAGAAAGAACAUGGACUAUCCUGGAGAUCAUUCAAAUGUUGCUGCACCAGGUACAAACCACAGCAACAGAAGUAACAUGAGCCACAGACAAGCUCUUCAGUAUAAAGAUAAACGUCAUGCUAGCGACAGUAUUACAGCUAUUUGUAAAAUUUCUCCAUUUUUCUCUUCCUUUAUGUCCAGAGGUCACAACACUAAUUGUUUGGCUCCACCUAACUCUGGUUCAAGCCACAGUCAGGGAAAUAGUCCAACUAAAAUCCACAGUGCAAGGGGUUCACCUACCAACCAAUCUGAACAAAUGCGGCCACGUGCAAAAUCAGUAGAAUCAGAGCUAGGACAACAUGUGCGACUACGACGAGAUUCAAAUGAAGAAUGGGAACUUCCUGACAAAGAAAUUAUAUUAAUUCGUCGAAUUGGUUCAGGAUCAUUUGGAACAGUAUUUUGUGGUCACUGGCAUGGGCCUGUUGCUGUGAAAAAGCUGAAUGUAGUUCAUCCAACACCUGCGCAAUUAGAAGCUUUCAAAAAUGAAGUUGCUGUCUUAAAGAAAACUCGACACUUAAACAUCUUAUUAUUUAUGGGUUACACCAUUGAACCUCAGCUUCAGAUUGUCACUCAGUGGUGUGAAGGGUCAAGUCUUUACAAACGUUUACAUGUAGAAGAAACCAAGUAUGAUAUGUCUCAGUUAGUUGAAAUAGGUCGUCAAACUUCACAAGGCAUGGAUUAUUUACAUGCAAAGUUUAUCAUUCAUAGAGAUUUGAAGUCCAACAAUAUAUUUUUGACAGAAGACUUCACUGUCAAAAUUGGUGACUUUGGUCUUGCAACUGUGAAAGCUCGAUGGAGUGGAUCCCAUCAAUUCCAACAGCCAACUGGUUCCAUUCUGUGGAUGGCUCCUGAAGUAAUAAGGAUGAAAGAUGACAACCCUUACACAUUCCAAUCUGAUGUGUAUGCGUAUGGUAUUGUCUGUUUUGAGUUGAUGACCAGCUCACUGCCAUAUUCUCACAUCAACAAUAAGGACCAGAUCCUCUUCAUGGUUGGUAAAGGCCAUAUACGACCUGACCCCAGUAAAUCCAGAUCAGAUACACCCAAAGCUUUCAAACGUUUGAUGAUGGAGUGCUGUAAAUACGAUCGAAAUGAAAGGCCUCUAUUUCCACAGAUAUUGUCUUCUAUUGAAUCUCUGAAGAGAUCUCUUCAAAGACUACAAAAAAGCCACUCAGAACCUACACUGCGGCCACAGUCAUCAGAUGACUUGGAUCUAUUUAAUGUAUUUUCAUCACCAAAAACUCCCGUCAACUGUCAAUAUGCACAGUUCACAUUUUAUGAUUUAGAUACCUGAGAAGGUAAUGUUGAUAUCAACAGUUUGGGGUGUUGUAUUUCUCCAGUAAGAUCGAAGAAAAAAAAAAUUUAGGUAAAUGAUGAAGAGAGAAAGUAUGAGUUUUCUUUUUUCUUUUUCUUUUUUUUUUAAUAUAUAAAAGAACAAUUUUAAGUUUAAUGUUCAUUCCUAACACUGCUGUCAAAGCGUUCCAGUGGAAACUAAGAUGAUGAUGAUAAUUUUAUAAGCAAUGAGGGAACUUAGGUUUCUGUGAACAGUACCGUGUCUUUCUUUACUUGGAAGUGAAGAUCCAAUGAAUAUUGCAUGGAUUUCUGGAAUUCCAAUAUUUCUGGCUGUACUAUAUUGGUUUUUUUUUUUUUUUUUUUUUUUUCAUUCUGUCUAUACUGUUGGUUGAAACAGAGAAGAUAGCAGCAGCAGCAGCAAUAUUAUUUGUGGGUUGACUUCAAUCACUGUUCUCCUUGCUGCAAACUGUUAUUGCUACUUUGACAAGAGAAAACAACAAUUUCACUCAUUUCAGGAUGAGCAAGAAAGAACAACACAGAUAAGAGUUGCUGUUAUCACCUGCUAUUAUUCUCUUGGAUUGGGCUCGAGGAUUCAUCACUGGUUCCAUUGAUAGUAUUACAGCUAACGAUGAGUACAAGUUAGUCAUCAACAAACACAUUGAAACAUCAUGAAUUCACUUUAUUUUCUUUGUGUAUUUUCUUUUGUGCCAUUCUCUCUCUUCCUUCUGGUCCAUUAACACUUUAUAAACACGUUCUAACUUAUAUACUAAAACAUUGGUGCCAUUUCCACGUGAUUGCUAAAGAUAUUUUUUUCAAUGUUACAAUGUUUGCAUAGAUGUGUGGUGUGUGUGUGUGUGUGGUGAGGGUGUGGCUUUUUUCAAUUACACAUAUAUUUGUGUGUGUGUGUGUAUAUAUAUACACAUACAAAUUUAUAUAUAUAUAUAUAUGUAUACACAUACAUACGCACACACACUCACACAUUGUAUUUGAUUAAAGAGAGAGAGAGAGAGAGAGAAGAAGAAACCAUUAGUGAAAUGAUUUAUCACUGAGUAGAUUUAAGAUAUCCUGUGCCUUUUUAAUCUGGUGAAUUUUAAUCUCUGCUUUCUCUACAGCUAUAUUUACUGUUAUUGAUUCUUUUCACUUCCAAUUUACCAGCUUCAUGUCUCUGACAGAUUCUACUGGAUUCUUCAGAAUAUUUUGGUCUCUAUAAAGCUGCUAUUCUAGCUUCUUUUUUUAAUCUCUUAAAUAUUUGAUUCUCUGGCUUAUGCGUUAACAGAUAUUGUUAUAUUUUUUUUUCUUACUAGUUUGUGUUUUUAUAUUGAAAAAUACUUCAUCCCAAAUUUUAUUGCAUCUUAUUUUCAAUGAUGCCAUCAGCAUUAAAACAUCCAUGUGUCUGAUGUUAAAUAACUUUAGUUGUAUCAUGGCAGUUAAUGCCAUAUCUAAUCUUGCCCAAGCAUUCUUCAUCACUGUUCCUUUAGCUGUAGAGGCCUGUCAUUUACUGUAGCUAAACAGUAAACUAUUGCAUUAAAAUUGUAACCACAUUUUAUUCUAUAGAAAUCAAGGAUGGAACUAAUUUAAUGUUUUGUUUGAUAUUUUUUUUUCAAAAAUAAAGUAUAAAUUUUAAAACUUUGGCAAUUCUAACAGGAAAUUUCCUAAUUGUUGGUGCUAAGUUACCACAGUUCUGUAAUGUUCUCAUAGCAUCAAAUUCAUUUUUAGAACAUUUUUAACUGAGUCUGGCAAAUCUAUUGAAAACUCUCUCAACAAGCUCCAUUCAUUAGUAUUAAAUGUCAAGAAAAUGGAGUUGAUUUUCAUACUUCUCAUAUCCUGGCCAAUUUUCGUUUUUCUUUUCUUUUUCACCUUUUUGUGGAAUUUUUCCUUUCUGUAAAUUAUUACAUCUAUUUAAAUAAAUUAUAUAUGUGUGUGUAAUAUGUAUAUAUGUGUAUAUGUGUGUGUGUGCAUAGAUAUGUGUGUGUGUGUGUAUGCAUGUAUAUGUAUAUAAACUACACUAAUCUUAGCCAAAAGACCACAUGCAGGUGUUUGUGUAUACACACAUGCACACUCACUCACACACACACACACACACGUGCACGCACAUUGUGGCCACUGAUUAUCACAGCUGAUAAACAGAGAAGACAAAAUCUGCAGGUUGCUGUCAAAAUCCAAUUGUAUGCCUUGUGCAAAGUGUGAUGCAGAUUUGUUGAAACAUUUUCGUAUGAAGUAAACCAAUAAUUCUGUACAUAAACCUUAUGAUUAGUUUAUUUUAAUUUUACUUUUCUUUUAAAUUUUAAUAAUGUUUUGAUAAUAGGUUAAAAUGUUAAAAAUAUAUUCCUUGUUUAUUUUGACUCUGGCUCUGCAUCUAAACAUUUUAUAUAAACUGGGUUUUUUUAAAUUUUAUUUUAUUAGUAAAGUUUCUUUAAAACAAACCUAGGUUUAAAUAAUAUCUAAGUUCCCUCUUUUUUCCUGCUGUUUGUACUAGUGUAUGAUGAUGAUGAUAAGGCUUGAAAACAAUAUAAUACAUUUAUUUUAUUUUGCUAUUACAGUUAACAUUAAGUUGGUGAUGAAACAUUUUGAAAUUUUGCUGUCUAUGUUCCUCAGAGCUCUGAUUUGUUUGCUGGUGUUGUUAUUAAACAAAACGAACAGUCCAAAGUUUCUAUAUCAUUUUUAUUUAAUAGUAUGCAAAAUAUAGCAGUACCCUCUUCAAGCCACAGGCUGCUCUUUUUAAUUGUCUACAACUUUUAAAAGUGGGAAUUUCAUUUGGUUGCAUUAGUCUUUUUUAUUUUAAAAUAUUUUUUAAAAAUUGAAAAAAAUAUUAGCUUCAUGACAUAUAAAAGAAAUGUUAAGAUCGUUACAAAUUCCUUUUGUUUGCAUUCACAAAGUGUGUGUGUAGGUAGGGGGGUAUUCUUGAAAAACAAACAUUAUGAUGCCUACCAUAACUUCUUUUCCUAAAUAAAAAAUUUUAAAGAUAUAUUUGGUGAAUUAGUUUUAGACUGGACAUUUUUUGUUAGUAUUCUUAGCUUAAGACCAACAUUUUCUUUGACAAAUAUGUAGCAGUGAUGUUUAUUCUUUUAAAUAUUCUCCUUUAAUGAAAAAAAAUUCUUCAGCUUGCUCCUCCCUUUAAACUUGUAUUGGAUAACAUUUUAAUGCUGAUACCAAAAUUUAUAUUUUCCCCUUAUAUCUUAUUCAUUCCACAAUUUCUCUUAUUCUCUAUAGAAAAUGUCUUUCUUCCUCUCUUUACUCUUCAACUAAAGUUGCUUUGAAUUCAAAUUUCUUGUUCUUACUAUUAAUUCUUUCUUCUGAGAGUUCUUCUUUGCUACAGUUCUUUCCCAAUGUUGUUGGUUUCCUGUAAUCUUCUAUCUCACCCACCAUACAUUUCAUUAUCAGUGAAAUGGCUGAUGAAUCAGAGUCUUGCAUGCGGGCACCCUUGAUCCCCCCUACCCCAUGCUCAUUCAGUUCUAGUGCCAGAUGUUGCCAGCCCUGCCACCAAAUCUGCAAGUGAUGCUACCGAGUUCCUGCUCAUCUCUGCUCUUGCUUGCUGUCCCCCCCUCCCCCCUCUUACGAUUAACAAACAUCUGCAGACAAAUUCUAUUGAUGAAAAGGAGGAGAACAAAUAUAUGAUGCAUGUUAGAAUAUGGAUGUGUGUAUGGAAGAUCAGUGGAGGAAAAAAGAACUUUUUUUCUGUCCUGAGCAUCCUAACUCUGACUAAAAUACUCUGGAAAUGAAAAAUGGACAUGUUUUUUUUUUAAAAAAAAUACUUUAAAAAAAUAUUUUCAAAAAAAAGUAAAAUUUAAGAAACAUUUAAAAAAAAGGAAAACAUGAAAAUGAAGACUGUUAAUAUAUGAGGACUGAUGAAAUGUAUUAUUUAUAUCAACUUCAGGACAGGCUAUUUCAUUUUAUAUAUUUCACAUAAGUUGUAAAGAUGUUACAAUGAAGUUCUGUAAAAACUGU
rnacentral:misc_RNA from 1 species